UACAGAGGGUGCAAGCGUUAAUCGGAAUUACUGGGCGUAAAGCGUGCGUAGACGGUUAUGUAAGUCAGAUGUGAAAGCCCCGGGCUCAACCUGGGAAUUGCAUUUGAGACUGCAUAGCUAGGGUGCGGAAGAGGGAAGCGGAAUUUCCGGUGUAGCGGUGAAAUGCGUAGAGAUCGGGAGGAAGGCCGGUGGCGAAGGCGGCGCUCUGGAACGUUACUGACGCUGAGACACGAAAGCGUGGGGAGCAAACAGG
rnacentral:rRNA from 1 species